rnacentral:lncRNA from 1 species
UGAAAUUGGGGUGAAAGUCAGGGAACGGGCAAUGAGUCCAUGUAUUUGUGUUUUCAGGGAGGUGUUAGGGAAAGGUGGAGGAAGGCGAAGAGAAGGCUAAGGAAGCCUAAGAACUGCGGCUGCAGAGUCACGGAAACACUUCGCUCCGCUCCAGGAUCACUGGCACAGGCCUUUGCCAGGGCGAACUCCGGGCAAGACCCGUGACCCCACCCCAGAAAACUCCCGACUCCCGGGCUGGAGAAGGUAGCCAAGAUCAUUCUCAGUUGCCAUAUGGCAAAGACACAGGAAGCUGCCCUGUGUAGAGACCCACAUGGCAAGGAACUGAGACAUCCUGCCAACAACCACCAGAGUCUGAGGCCUGCUGCCAUCACCACAUAUUGGUGUUGUGAAUAUUUUCUCCCAGAUUAUGGCUUGCUAUGGCAGUCAGCCCCCAAGAUGGACCCCAUUGAUUCUGGACUCCUGGUGCCAAAACCAUUGUACCCAGAUCAACUGCAAACAAGAACAGAGUUUUAAUGGAAAUUUUAAACAAGUAAGAUGAAAAUCCUGAAGCAUUUCUUUCAAGAAUUGUAACAGGAGAUGAAACAUGGCUUUACCAGUAUAAUCCCGAAGACAAAGUACAAUCAGAGCAAUGGCUACCAAGAGGUGGAAGUGGUCCAGUCAAAGCAAAAGCAGACCUGCCAAGAGCAAAGGUCGUGGGAAUAGUUUUUUGGGAUACUUAUUUUGCUUGUUGACUUUCUGAAGAGCCAAAGAACAAUAAUAUCUGCUUGUUUCAAGAGUGUUUUGAGAAAGUUUGCUAAAGCUUUAGCAGAAAAAUUCCUGGAAAAGCUUCACCAGUCUUUUUCUACCGCAACAAUGCUCCCACUCAUUCUUCUCAUCAAACAAGGGCAAUUUUACAAGACUUUCAAUGAGAAAUCAUUAGGCAUCGACCUUACAGUCCUAAUUUGGCUCUUUCUAACUUCUUUUUGUUUCCUAAUCUUAAAAAAUCUGCAAAGGGCUCCCAUUUUUCGUCAUUUAAUCAUGUAAAAAAGACAUGGUUAAAUUUCCAUGAAUCUCAAUUUUUUUAGGGAUGGAUUAAAUGACUGGUGUCAUCACUUACAACCAUGGUUGACCUCGAUGGAGCUUAUGUUGAGAAAUAAAGUUUAUAUUCUUUAUCUUUUAAUUCAAUUUUUCCAUGAACAUUUUGAAGUGCCUCAUAUUAUAAAUGAUAUUUCAUUGUUAGUGGUUCAUUAAUAGGGUAUUUAAAUACAAUUCUUUUUUAAUAUUAGUCCUGUACACUGAGAUCAUGUUUAAAAACCUAUUAGUUCUAGUAGUAUUUUAUAGAUUUCUUUUGAUUUUCUAUGUAUACAAUCAUGUUUCUCCAAAUAAAGAGUUUUAUUUUUUUCCUUCCA